GUCUGUCUGAAUGACGUGCUACUUACUGGGCCAGAUCUCAACAGCAGCCUACUGGGAGUCUUGCUGCGCUUCCGAAAAGAGGCAGUGGCUGUGAUAGGGGACAUCGAGCAGAUGUUUCACAGUUUUAUCGUCAGGGAAGAUCACAGAGACUUUCUUCAGUUUUUGUGGUUCAAGGACAACGACCUCAACAAAGAGAUUGUCGAGUACCGAAUGAAAGUUCAUGUAUUCGGCAACAGCCCAUCUCCAGCCGUAGCCAUCUAUGGUCUUCGUCGAGCAGCUCAGCACGGAGCAAAUGAGUACGGUAUGGAUGUCAGAGAUUUUGUGGAACAUAACUUCUACGUCGACGAUGGUCUCAAGUCACUCCCAACAGCGGCCGAUGCUAUUGACCUCCUGAAAAGAGCACAGGACAUGCUUGCUAUCUCCAAUUUGCGGCUUCAUAAGAUAGCAUCAAACCACCCUGAUGUCCUGAAGGCCUUCUAUCCAGAAGACCAUGCGAGGGACCUGCAGAACGUAGACUUUGAUGACAACUCAUCUCUCAUCCAACGCAGCUUAGGGUUAAGCUGGGAUCUCAAACAGGAUGUUUUCACCUUCAGAGUGGUGCCAGCAGAGAAACCUUUCACCCGUAGGGGUGUCUUAGCCACAGCCUGUUUGACCCUCUCGGAUUUGUCGCACCAGUCGUCAUCCGAGGGAAGUUCCUGCUGCGAGAGCUCACCAACAGCGAAGCUCUUGACUGGGAUAGCCCUCUGCCAGAGGACAAAGAAGCAGAAUGGAGAAUAUGGACAGACUCCUUGCAAGAUCUAAGUUCAAGAUACCAAGACGCUACACCAAUGCAACGUUUGCCACUGCUCAAAGAAAAGAGCUGCAUGUUUUCUCAGAUGCCUCUCUGAAGGCCAUUGCCGCUGUGGCUUACCUCAAGGUGAUUGGCGGUGACGGAAAGUGCCACGUGGGAUUCGUUUUGGGGAAAACGAAACUUGCACCUCUGUCCGUGCACACCAUCCCACGACUGGAGCUUGGAGCUGCUGUG
rnacentral:lncRNA from 1 species